CGAUUUCGGUUUACGCCGUUUUCUACCUUUGUCUAUACGUACCACUUGUUUCCUCGGGGGGCUUGCCCCCCGCUAGGACCUCAUAACAACCUUUGUAAUUGCAGUCAGCGUCUGAUACCUAUACAAUUAUUAAAACUUUCAACAAUGGAUCUCUUGGUUCUGGCAUCGAUGAAGAACGCAGCGAAAUGCGAUAAGUAGUGUGAAUUGCAGAAUUCAGUGAAUCAUCGAAUCUUUGAACGCACAUUGCGCCCCUUGGUAUUCCAUGGGGCAUGCCUGUUCGAGCGUCAUUUGAACCCUCAAGCUCUGCUUGGUGUUGGGUGUUGUCUCGCCUCUGCGCGCAGACUCGCCUUAAAGUCAUUGGCAGCCCUAGAAAUCGGCUUUGAGCGCAGCACAAUGCGUCCUCUUGGCUGGACUGGUGGCAUCCAAAAGCCCUUGUUUACUCUUGACCUCGGAUCAGGUAGGGAUACCCGCUGAACUUAAGCAUAUCAAUAAGCGGAGGAAAAGAAACCAACAGGGAUUGCCCUAGUAACGGCGAGUGAAGCGGCAACAGCUCAAAUUUGAAAUCUGGCCCUUUCAGGGUCCGAGUUGUAAUUUGCAGAGGGUGCUUUGGUGUUGGCUGCGGUCUAAGUUCCUUGGAACAGGACGUCAUAGAGGGUGAGAAUCCCGUCUGUGGUCGCAAGUCUUCGCCGUGUAAAGCCCCUUCGACGAGUCGAGUUGUUUGGGAAUGCAGCUCUAAAUGGGAGGUAAAUUUCUUCUAAAGCUAAAUACUGGCCAGAGACCGAUAGCGCACAAGUAGAGUGAUCGAAAGAUGAAAAGCACUUUGGAAAGAGAGUCAAACAGCACGUGAAAUUGUUGAAAGGGAAGCGCUUGCAGCCAGACUUGCUUGCAGUUGCUCAUCCGGGCGCUCGCCCGGUGCACUCUUCUGUAGGCAGGCCAGCAUCAGUUUGGGCGGUUGGAUAAAGGCCUCUGUCAUGUAUCUUCUCCGGAAGACCUUAUAGGGGAGGCGUAAUGCAACCAGCCUGG
rnacentral:rRNA from 1 species